CUCCGCACCUACGGGCGGCUCGCAGCUGCGUGCGGAGUCUGGGAUGAGCGUCUUGGCUGCGGCAGGCGCUGGGCGGCUGUGCGCCGUGCGCGCAGUCUUUACUUGUCUUUGGAGAGGAAAGUACUUCAGCUCCGGGAAUGAGCCGGCAGAAAACAACCCGGUGACCCCUAUGCUGCGGCAUCUUAUGUACAAAAUCAAGUCUACUGGUCCCAUCACCGUGGCCGAGUACAUGAAGGAGGUCUUGACCAACCCAGCCAAGGGCUAUUAUGUGAACCGUGACAUGCUAGGAGAAAAAGGAGAUUUCAUUACUUCACCUGAAAUAAGUCAGAUCUUUGGGGAGCUCCUAGGGAUAUGGUUAAUCAGUGAAUGGAUAGCCACUGGAAAAAAUGCAGCUUUCCAACUGGUGGAACUGGGCCCAGGCAGGGGUACCCUCUUGGGAGAUAUUUUGAGGGUGUUCAGUCAGCUUGCAUCUGUGCUGAAAAACUGUGACAUUUCAAUACAUCUGGUAGAAGUGAGCCAAAAAUUAAGUGAGAUUCAAGCAUUAACGUUGACUGAAGAGAAGGUCCUAUUAGAGCGAAAUGCUGGAUCCCCAGUAUAUAUGAAAGGUGUCACUAAGUCUGGAAUUCCAAUUUCCUGGUACCGAGAUCUGCAAGAUGUUCCAAAAGAGUACAGCUUUUAUCUUGCACAUGAAUUUUUCGAUGUUCUUCCUGUGCAUAAGUUUCAGAAAACACCACACGGAUGGCGAGAAGUACUCAUUGAUAUUGAUCCACAGGUUUCUGAUAAACUGAGAUUUGUUUUGGCGCCUUGUGCCACCCCAGCAGAAGCCUUCAUACAAUGUGAUGAAACAAGGGAUCACGUGGAAGUGUGUCCUGAUGCUGGUGUUAUUAUUCAGGAACUUUCUCAACGCAUUUCAGAAACUGGAGGUGCUGCCCUGAUUGCUGAUUAUGGUCAUGAUGGAACUAAGACAGAUACCUUCAGAGGGUUUUGUGGCCACAGGCUUCAUGAUGUCUUAAUUGCCCCGGGAACAGCAGACCUCACAGCUGACGUGGACUUCAGUUACUUGCGCAGAAUGUCCCAGGGGAAAGUAGCUUCUCUGGGUCCAAUAAAACAGCAGACAUUUUUAAGAAAUAUGGGCAUUGAUGUCCGGCUGAAGGUUCUUUUAGAUAAAUCAGAUGAGCCAUCACUGAGGCAGCAGUUACUUCAGGGCUAUGAUAUGUUAAUGAAUCCUACGAAGAUGGGAGAAAGAUUUAACUUUUUUGCCUUGAUACCUCAUCAGAGACUUCAUGGUAGAAAUCAUCAGAUGAAUGCAUGUCAGUCAAAACCCUCUCCAUCACCUGUAGCUGGGUUUGGUGAACUUGCUUGGCGGUGAUAUUUCAGUUUGGACUUUCUACUCCCAAGUUGGCCUAAGAAACUAGACUAAAGGGAACACAUUUUAUAUAUCACAGAUUGAGGAACUCAAGGCUCAGACAGAUUGUCACCUGCUGAGGCCAAUACAGAUGACAACCUACAAAGAACAACAGUUAUGCAGCAAAAUACCAGUCCAUAACAUGAAAUCCUUCCUUAUUGAAGUUAGCUCAAUAAUAAUUAAGGAUCCUCUUCCAUGUCAUCUGGAUUGGGAGCCAUAAUGAAGUGCUUUGGGUAUACAAGAUUGUGUGUAUAUGCAUGUAUUUCCCAGCGGGCAUCGUCACUUUCGUGUGUAAUAUAACGUUCACCAAUGCGAGUUUCAAAUUCUCUAAGGUCAAGCCAAGUCUGAUAGUCCUAGGGAAAAAAAAAGAUUAUGAACCAUAAAAGAAACAAUACUGUCAACCUUCUUUUUUUUUUUUUGCUCAGCACCCUAGUCAUAAAAUUGACAACCCCUACCUCCUAAAUACUUGUUAUACAAUAAGUUCAUUUGUAAUAUUUUAAGUUAGCAAUGUUAAAGAUAAAUACUUCUUCAAAUUUAGAGUCUCUCAUGAAGGAAGGAACUAGUUUCUAAAAUUAAAAAAGAAAACAUUGCCUCAGGCUUCUGAGGUGGCUAAUAAUAACCACUAAAAUAUUUUGUUGGAGAGGCCUACACCUUACUUCUCAAAAUAGGGGAAAGUGCUUAGAAUCUGUUAUCAGGAUAAUUUAAUAACUGCUGAGACUAAAUAUGAUAAUAUUUGUUUUGAAGUUAUUUCUACCCCUCAUUCCCUUUAAAAUAGUUCUGAAGCUUCUCUCUUUACUCUGAAGUUUGGGGGUAUCUUGACAAAUCUAUGCAAUAGCUUUUGGGGGGAAUUAAGCCAAA